GGGAGAGGGAGAGGGAAACAUAAGUAGAUUCUGUGAUCACGACCAGAGCUGAUACCAGGAGUUGACGCUUUAACCUACUGCACCAUCCAGGCACUCUAGGGAGAUAUCUUAGAAGUAAUAGCCACCCACCUCCCCACAAACAGCUCCAGUAUGUUGUCUAGUUGUAUAUAUUUCCUCAUAAAUUUAAGUAUGGGGUUAGAUGCAAGACAUGAGGUCUCUCAGAUUUUGUAGUUGGUGACAUUGAAGCCUUAAGGUAUUCUUCAUGACCCAGUCUCUGAGUUGGAGAACAUACACAUUUUUACAAGGAAUCCAGAGGAAGAAGUUUGAACUUACUUUAUAUGUCAUGGGAAAUGCCUUGGUCAAAUCCAUGUCUCCGAAGGUGAUGUUUGUGGCUUUCCAGAGGAGGGACUGAAGAGAAGAGGCUGGCAGAGGAAAAACAAGUCACAUGAAUUAAUUAGCAAGCAACGAGAGCCUCCACCGAGGCACUGCUAACAGAGAACAAGUAAAAUGAGCUGACUCAUUAAGGACAUUCUGACAUGCAAUUCUGGCUAACAACACUGCUACUCCUUAUCUCAUCCCUGUCAGGUUAGCUAAUUUUGCAAAAUUGAUCUUUUCAUUCUACUGCCUCCAGAUAUAGAAAAUUAGAUUAUUAUUGCACUGAACUAUUGAACAUACCUUAAUAUUUAGCAGUGAAAUUAUGAUACUUAAGAUCUAAUCUUGCUAUGUCUGCGGAAUGCUAUUUCGGCAUCUAAGUUCCUUUACACAUAAACUGAUGAUAAUGAAGAUAAUACUCACUUGUUUA